UUAAGCGACUAAGCGUACACGGUGGAUGCCCUGGCAGUCAGAGGCGAUGAAGGACGUGCUAAUCUGCGAAAAGCGCCGGCGAGGUGAUAUGAACCCUUGACCCGGCGAUGUCCGAAUGGGGAAACCCAGUGCAAUCCGUUGCACUAUCGUUAACUGAAUACAUAGGUUAACGAGGCGAACCGGGGGAACUGAAACAUCUAAGUACCCCGAGGAAAAGAAAUCAACCGAGAUUCCCCCAGUAGCGGCGAGCGAACGGGGAGCAGCCCGGAGUCUGAAUCAGCUUGUGUGUUAGUGGAACGGUCUGGAAAGUCCGACGGUACAGGGUGAUAGUCCCGUACACGAAAAUGCACAUGCUGUGAACUCGAAGAGUAGGGCGGGACACGUGGUAUCCUGUCUGAAUAUGGGGGGACCAUCCUCCAAGGCUAAAUACUCCUGACUGACCGAUAGUGAACCAGUACCGUGAGGGAAAGGCGAAAAGAACCCCGGCGAGGGGAGUGAAAAAGAACCUGAAACCGUGUACGUACAAGCAGUGGGAGCCUCUUUAUGGGGUGACUGCGUACCUUUUGUAUAAUGGGUCAGCGACUUAUAUUCUGUAGCAAGGUUAACCGUAUAGGGGAGCCGAAGGGAAACCGAGUCUUAACUGGGCGUUAAGUUGCAGGGUAUAGACCCGAAACCCGGUGAUCUAGCCAUGGGCAGGUUGAAGGUUGGGUAACACUAACUGGAGGACCGAACCGACUAAUGUUGAAAAAUUAGCGGAUGACCUGUGGCUGGGGGUGAAAGGCCAAUCAAACCGGGAGAUAGCUGGUUCUCCCCGAAAGCUAUUUAGGUAGCGCCUCGUGAACUCAUCUUCGGGGGUAGAGCACUGUUUCGGCUAGGGGGCCAUCCCGGCUUACCAACCCGAUGCAAACUACGAAUACCGAAGAAUGUUAUCACGGGAGACACACGGCGGGUGCUAACGUCCGUCGUGAAGAGGGAAACAACCCAGACCGCCAGCUAAGGUCCCAAAGUCAUGGUUAAGUGGGAAACGAUGUGGGAAGGCACAGACAGCCAGGAUGUUGGCUUAGAAGCAGCCAUCAUUUAAAGAAAGCGUAAUAGCUCACUGGUCGAGUCGGCCUGCGCGGAAGAUGUAACGGGGCUAAACCAUGCACCGAAGCUGCGGCAGCGACACUUAUGUGUUGUUGGGUAGGGGAGCGUUCUGUAAGCCGUUGAAGGUGUGCUGUGAGGCAUGCUGGAGGUAUCAGAAGUGCGAAUGCUGACAUAAGUAACGAUAAAGCGGGUGAAAAGCCCGCUCGCCGGAAGACCAAGGGUUCCUGUCCAACGUUAAUCGGGGCAGGGUGAGUCGACCCCUAAGGCGAGGCCGAAAGGCGUAGUCGAUGGGAAACAGGUUAAUAUUCCUGUACUUGGUGUUACUGCGAAGGGGGGACGGAGAAGGCUAUGUCAGCCGGGCGACGGUUGUCCCGGUUUAAGCAUGUAGGCGGAGGUUCCAGGUAAAUCCGGUACCUUGUUAACGCUGAGGUGUGAUGACGAGGCACUACGGUGCUGAAGUGAUAAAUGCCCUGCUUCCAGGAAAAGCCUCUAAGCAUCAGGUAACACGAAAUCGUACCCCAAACCGACACAGGUGGUCAGGUAGAGAAUACCAAGGCGCUUGAGAGAACUCGGGUGAAGGAACUAGGCAAAAUGGUGCCGUAACUUCGGGAGAAGGCACGCUGAUGUGUAGGUGAAGCCCCUGCGGGUGGAGCUGAAAUCAGUCGAAGAUACCAGCUGGCUGCAACUGUUUAUUAAAAACACAGCACUGUGCAAACACGAAAGUGGACGUAUACGGUGUGACGCCUGCCCGGUGCCGGAAGGUUAAUUGAUGGGGUUAGCGGCAACGCGAAGCUCUUGAUCGAAGCCCCGGUAAACGGCGGCCGUAACUAUAACGGUCCUAAGGUAGCGAAAUUCCUUGUCGGGUAAGUUCCGACCUGCACGAAUGGCGUAAUGAUGGCCAGGCUGUCUCCACCCGAGACUCAGUGAAAUUGAACUCGCUGUGAAGAUGCAGUGUACCCGCGGCAAGACGGAAAGACCCCGUGAACCUUUACUAUAGCUUGACACUGAACACUGGUCCUUGAUGUGUAGGAUAGGUGGGAGGCUUUGAAGCGUGGACGCCAGUCUGCGUGGAGCCAACCUUGAAAUACCACCCUUUAAUGGCUGGUGUUCUAACGUAGACCCGUAAUCCGGGUUGCGGACAGUGUCUGGUGGGUAGUUUGACUGGGGCGGUCUCCUCCCAAAGAGUAACGGAGGAGCACGAAGGUUGGCUAAUCCUGGUCGGACAUCAGGAGGUUAGUGCAAUGGCAUAAGCCAGCUUGACUGCGAGCGUGACGGCGCGAGCAGGUGCGAAAGCAGGUCAUAGUGAUCCGGUGGUUCUGAAUGGAAGGGCCAUCGCUCAACGGAUAAAAGGUACUCCGGGGAUAACAGGCUGAUACCGCCCAAGAGUUCAUAUCGACGGCGGUGUUUGGCACCUCGAUGUCGGCUCAUCACAUCCUGGGGCUGAAGUAGGUCCCAAGGGUAUGGCUGUUCGCCAUUUAAAGUGGUACGCGAGCUGGGUUUAGAACGUCGUGAGACAGUUCGGUCCCUAUCUGCCGUGGGCGCUGGAGAAUUGAGGGGGGCUGCUCCUAGUACGAGAGGACCGGAGUGGACGCAUCACUGGUGUUCGGGUUGUCAUGCCAAUGGCACUGCCCGGUAGCUAAAUGCGGAAGAGAUAAGUGCUGAAAGCAUCUAAGCACGAAACUUGCCCCGAGAUGAGUUCUCCCUGAGACUUUAAGUCUCCUGAAGGAACGUUGAAGACGACGACGUUGAUAGGUCGGGUGUGUAAGCGCAGCGAUGCGUUGAGCUAACCGAUACUAAUGAACCGUGAGGCUUAACCUU
rnacentral:rRNA from 1 species